GCUGAACCCUCUGAUACGUAGAAACAUUUUAUAAAUAAAAGUUUAAGUGGCCAGCUUACAUGACUUGACCUACUGCCUAACCACCUCUCUGUGAACUAAAAGGUUGGUCUAAGCAUGGAAAAUUUGCAUUCACUGCCACAGAUAGAACAUCUCUAGUCAACAAAAAAGUUUCCAUACUUCAUUCAAAUCAAGGGAGAAAGCUCAAGCGCCCCACUUCCAUUGUAGCAUUUAUCAGGAGUUUAUUCUGUGAACUUUGCAAAUCAGAUUCACUGUCCCCUAUUUUGUAAAGGAUGGGAUUAAAAUAGAGCAUUUCCUUAAUAUUUACAAAAUUUAACCAUUAUCUCUUUAUAGAAAUUUUGGAAGAGCUGAAGCAACAUAUGAAAAAUGUACUUUACCUUAAACACAGGCAAAUUAUGAAAUCACAGAUUUCCCACGUUACUUGCUCAGAUGGCAUCUUUUCUGAGUCAAGAAGUUUAAAACAACAAAACUUUGGACACUCCAAACUGUAACAAACAAGACAAGAUUUUGAUGGAAAACGCUUCCAAACUCGUUCGACCUGGAGAUGCUUUUCUAAUUAAAGGUUUAAUUGACAAGAAACCGGUAGUAUUUAGCUUUUAAGGGAUCAAGAGGAAGGAACAACAAAACCAACCUAGGUAUUGUUUUUCUUUUGUUUGGGAUCAAAAGGAAACCAUAACCACAAAAAGGUUAAGUAAAAGACCAAGGUACCCAACUCAAGGACAGUGUAUCUCCCAAGAGAAAACAAAACAAAGUUGCAAUUUGUAAACCAAGUUUGAAAUACGCGAAUCAAUUAGCGUGCUUUCGAAAGGCGUGUGAUAAAAACUAAUAGGCUUCACUUACAGAGCAACUUUCACAAGAGAAUGCAGAAGGAUCUCCGCAGAGUAUUAGCCGUGUGCGUGCUUGUGAGAGUCCACACAAGCAGUUCAGAACCCCGGGACUAUAAUGGUUAACAAAGGUUACGGGGGCGGAAAAAAAAAGUGGAAGCAAAGUAUCGCACGCUCCUAACACGGCUUGCCAACAACUCCCGAAACCAGAGCUC
rnacentral:lncRNA from 1 species